rnacentral:rRNA from 1 species
GGUGGGGAUGACGUCAAAUCAUCAUGCCCUUUAUGACUUGGGCUACACACGUACUACAAUGGCGUUAAACAAAGAGAAGCAAGACCGCGAGGUGGAGCAAAACUCAGAAACAACGUCCCAGUUCGGACUGCAGGCUGCAACUCGCCUGCACGAAGUCGGAAUUGCUAGAAUCGUGAUCAGCAUGCCACGGUGAAUACGUUCCCGGGCCUUGUACACACCGCCCGUCACACCAUGAGAGCCGGGGGGACCCGAAGUCGGUAGUCUAACCGCAAGGAGGACGCCGCCGAAGGUAAAACUGGUGAUUGGGGUGAAGUCGUAACAAGGU